CCCCAAUCCCCAAUCCGAUAGUUCAUCCCUUCCUCUUGCCUUGUUCGUCGCCAUGGUCGCCCGCUGAAACUAGUCGUUUUUUUGUUCUCUGGUUCCUCUCCUCCCCUAUUCGCCGCCAUGGCCGCCCCUCUCCUCCCCCGAUCCCUCAUUCUCCCAUGACCUGGAAGCUCCCUGAACAAGGACCACCCUCGCCAUGGAUCAAUGGAGCAGCGCAAUCUCAUCUUGGAGUUCCUGUUCGAUGUACAUCGUGAGUAUUAAUUGGGACAGUACAGAUGCAGGGAGACAAGGACUAGGUGUUCCCCAUCGAUUUUUCCUACAAACUAUAAAGGCAUAUAGGAAAGGAAUCCAGACUAGAGAUCAUCAGAGACGCAGGUCACACGUUGCAGUUGGAGAGGGCAAGAAGGUUAACAAUUUCACCAAGUUGUUCUCCUAGAUGAUCCAAAUAGACCUUGAUUGGCAGAGCCUGAAACUGAAACCUGCUCAAAGCAUCCAUAAUUGCAGGAAAACUACACACAGAAUCAUUCAAGGGGCCCAAAUGGUGUAUAUUAUACUCUUUGUAGAGGCAUGUACUAAUGCUCUUAGAAGAGAGAAUUCAGUGAAGUUGAGAUUGAGAAUUAGUACUUGUAAAAAUGUUAUCUUCUCUUGCUGGUGUUGUUGUCCCAGUUUAGUUGAGAAAAGAGAAUUCAGAUAAAGCAUUUUAUUUAGGGAAUGUACUUCUGAGUGUACAGACUGUUGCAUAUGCACCAAUAUAUGUAAUAUGAAUGCAAUAUUUUCUUGUGACAUGAAUGAAAACUUUUGUGAAUUGGAAGUACUCUGUUGUUGUAACUAUCAUGGUUGCAAAUUGGCAACAUCUUAUU